rnacentral:rRNA from 1 species
GAUGAACGCUGGCGGCGUGCCUAAUACAUGCAAGUCGAGCGAAUGGAUUAAGAGCUUGCUCUUAUGAAGUUAGCGGCGGACGGGUGAGUAACACGUGGGUAACCUGCCCAUAAGACUGGGAUAACUCCGGGAAACCGGGGCUAAUACCGGAUAACAUUUUGAACCUCAUGGUUCGAAAUUGAAAGGCGGCUUCGGCUGUCACUUAUGGAUGUACCCGCGUCGCAUUAGCUAGUUGGUGAGGUAACGGCUCACCAAGGCAACGAUGCGUAGCCGACCUGAGAGGGUGAUCGGCCACACUGGGACUGAGACACGGCCCAGACUCCUACGGGAGGCAGCAGUAGGGAAUCUUCCGCAAUGGACGAAAGUCUGACGGAGCAACGCCGCGUGAGUGAUGAAGGCUUUCGGGUCGUAAAACUCUGUUGUUAGGGAAGAACAAGCGCUAGUUGAAUAAGCUGGCACCUUGACGGUACCUAACCAGAAAGCCACGGCUAACUACGUGCCAGCAGCCGCCGUAA